rnacentral:rRNA from 1 species
UGCCCAUCAGACUGGGAUAACUACCGGAAACGGUAGCUAAUACCGGAUACAUCCUUUCCCUGCAUGGGGAGAGGAGGAAAGACGGAGCAAUCUGUCACUGAUGGAUGGGCCUGCGGCGCAUUAGCUAGUUGGUGGGGUAAUGGCCUACCAAGGCGACGAUGCGUAGCCGACCUGAGAGGGUGAUCGGCCACACUGGGACUGAGACACGGCCCAGACUCCUACGGGAGGCAGCAGUAGGGAAUCUUCCGCAAUGGGCGAAAGCCUGACGGAGCAACGCCGCGUGAGUGAUGAAGGUUUUCGGAUCGUAAAGCUCUGUUGCCAGGGAAGAACGUCUUGUAGAGUAACUGCUACAAGAGUGACGGUACCUGAGAAGAAAGCCCCGGCUAA